rnacentral:rRNA from 1 species
CCUACGGGAGGCAGCAGUGGGGAAUAUUGCACAAUGGGCGCAAGCCUGAUGCAGCAACGCCGCGUGAGGGAUGACGGCCUUCGGGUUGAAACCUCUUUUAGCAGGGAAGCGGUACCUGCAGAAAAAGCGCCGGCUAACUACGUGCCAGCAGCCGCGGUAAUACGUAGGGCGCAAGCGUUAUCCGGAAUUAUUGGGCGUAAAGAGCUCGUAGGCGGUUUGUCGCGUCUGCUGUGAAAUCCGGAGGCUCAACCUCCGGCCUGCAGUGGGUACGGGCAGACUAGAGUGCGGUAGGGGAGAUUGGAAUUCCUGGUGUAGCGGUGGAAUGCGUAGAUAUCAGGAGGAACACCGAUGGCGAAGGCAGAUCUCUGGGCCGUACUGACGCUGAGGAGCGAAAGGGUGGGGAGCAAACAGGCUUAGAUACCCUUGUAGUC